rnacentral:rRNA from 1 species
UACGUAGGGUGCGAGCGUUGUCCGGAUUUAUUGGGCGUAAAGAGCUCGUAGGCGGCUUGUCGCGUCGAAUGUGAAAACUCGGGGCUCAACUCCGAGCUUGCAUUCGAUACGGGCAGGCUAGAGUUCGGUAGGGGAGACUGGAAUUCCUGGUGUAGCGGUGAAAUGCGCAGAUAUCAGGAGGAACACCGGUGGCGAAGGCGGGUCUCUGGGCCGUAACUGACGCUGAGGAGCGAAAGCGUGGGGAGCGAACAGG